UGGGGAAUAUUGGACAAUGGGCGAAAGCCUGAUCCAGCCAUGCCGCGUGUGUGAAGAAGGUCUUCGGAUUGUAAAGCACUUUAAGUUGGGAGGAAGGGCAGUAAGCUAAUACCUUGCUGUUUUGACGUUACCGACAGAAUAAGCACCGGCUAACUCUGUGCCAGCAGCCGCGGUAAUACAGAGGGUGCAAGCGUUAAUCGGAAUUACUGGGCGUAAAGCGCGCGUAGGGGGUUUGUUAAGUUGGAUGUGAAAGCCCCGGGCUCAACCUGGGAACUGCAUCCAAAACUGGCAGGCUAGAGUACGGUAGAGGGUGGUGGAAUUUCCUGUGUAGCGGUGAAAUGCGUAGAUAUAGGAAGGAACACCAGUGGCGAAGGCGACCACCUGGACUGAUACUGACACUGAGGUGCGAAAGCGUGGGGAGCAAACA
rnacentral:rRNA from 1 species